ACUUAGACAUAAAAGGGAGCCCGAUUGCUUCGGGAUGGACACCACCCACCUUUUAUAGCGUUCCGAUUGCUCGUUGUCACUCGGAAUCGGCCUCCUGCGGCGCAUGCCGCACGGCUCGACCCAACUCACGCGCGACUGCCAAAUGUCCUCCUAUCCGCGAUCCGUCUGUUCUGGAGUUUAUUCCCCGACACCAUGAUGCUACGAUUCCAUUUCCAUGAUUUUUGGAAGCUUCCGCCGCGAGCUGCGGUAAUCUGUACCAAAAUCGGCUUCUUCUUCGAUAUCUUUGUAACGGCUCGACGGAUUGCCAAACCGUCGCUUCCAACACGUUCAGCGACCUAUCAAUUAGGUUUACAUACAACCAAUUUAGAUCAA
rnacentral:lncRNA from 1 species